GAUGAACGCUAGCGGCAGGCCUAAUACAUGCAAGUCGAACGAGCUUAAGAGGCUUGCUUCUUAGGAAAGUGGCGCACGGGUGCGUAACGCGUAUGCAACCUACCUUAAUCAGGGGGAUAGCCCGAAGAAAUUCGGAUUAAGACCGCAUAAAAACAAAGGAUAGCAUUAUCCAAUGUUCAAAUAUUUAUAGGUUUAAGAUGGGCAUGCGUGUCAUUAGCUAGUUGGCGGGGUAACGUCCCACCAAGGCGACGAUGACUAGGGGAUCUGAGAGGAUGACCCCCCACACUGGUACUGAGACACGGACCAGACUCCUACGGGAGGCAGCAGUAAGGAAUAUUGAUCAAUGGAGGGAACUCUGAACCAGCCAUGCCGCGUGCAGGAAGACAGCCCUCUGGGUCGUAAACUGCUUUUAUUCGGGAAUAAACCUUUCUACGUGUAGGAAGCUGAAUGUACCGAAGGAAUAAGGAUCGGCUAACUCCGUG
rnacentral:rRNA from 1 species